GACUUGAUACUUUAACUCAAAAGGUCUGGCUUGCAUUCAGAGAAUAAGUAUUGAUACUUUCGGGUCA
rnacentral:tRNA from 1 species